rnacentral:rRNA from 1 species
UAACAUGAGGAAAGCUUGCUUUCCUUGAUGACGACUGGCGCACGGGUGAGUAACGCGUAUCCAACCUUCCCAUAACUACGGGAUAACCCGUUGAAAGACGGCCUAAUACCGUAUGAUAUCGUUUGCUGACAUCAAAUAACGAUUAAAGGUUUAGCGGUUAUGGAUGGGGAUGCGUCUGAUUAGCUUGUUGGCGGGGUAACGGCCCACCAAGGCGACGAUCAGUAGGGGUUCUGAGAGGAAGGUCCCCCACAUUGGAACUGAGACACGGUCCAAACUCCUACGGGAGGCAGCAGUGAGGAAUAUUGGUCAAUGGGCGAGAGCCUGAACCAGCCAAGUAGCGUGCAGGAUGACGGCCCUAUGGGUUGUAAACUGCUUUUAUGCGGGGAUAAAGGAGUCCACGUGUGGAUUUUUGCAGGUACCGCAUGAAUAAGGACCGGCUAAUUCCGUGCCAGCCGCCG